UUAAAAUUGUGUUUAUUUAUGUUCUGAGUUUGUUAGUGAUUGGUAAGUGACUGCGCGUGGGAUUAUUUAUUUAUUCUCCACAGGAACAUGCAGCUUUGUGGUGUGCUGAGCGACAACGUGGGAGUGGAGUGACCUGAAAGUGGAAACAGGUGGGAUAACUGCUGGGAGAAGAGAAGGAUGGAGAGCAGCUGAGACACCAAGAGGAGAGAGGAGGAAAGAACCGAUCAUGAAGGA
rnacentral:lncRNA from 1 species